GUAUGGGAACUGCUGAGUCACGGCCUGAACCUCUGAUGGAUCACCUGAGGCGAGCCGUGAGUCAGCCAGAGGAGCACAGGUGGAGGCAACUCACCUGUGCUGCUGAAAGGUGUGGAGCCUGGCUGCACCUCUCCUAGACCUAUUCAAGAGCUGGCUACCAGUGGGGAAGGAUCUCUUCAGUAGAGGCGAUCUCCAGGUGUCUUGUGAGUGAACCCAGAAUAGGGUUCUCAAAGACCAAAAGCAUAACAUAAAAGAAGAAGAGAGAUUUACAGAACUGAGACAGCACAGAUCAUUAACAAACAUCUCCGCCCCACAAACUAAAGA